AGUGAACGCUGGCGGUAGGCCUAACACAUGCAAGUCGAACGGCAGCACAGUAAGAGCUUGCUCUUACGGGUGGCGAGUGGCGGACGGGUGAGGAAUACAUCGGAAUCUACUUUUUCGUGGGGGAUAACGUAGGGAAACUUACGCUAAUACCGCAUACGACCUACGGGUGAAAGCAGGGGAUCUUCGGACCUUGCGCGAUUGAAUGAGCCGAUGUCGGAUUAGCUAGUUGGCGGGGUAAAGGCCCACCAAGGCGACGAUCCGUAGCUUGUCUGAGAGGAUGAUCAGCCACACUGGAACUGAGACACGGUCCAGACUCCUACGGGAGGCAGCAAUGGGGAAUAUUGGACAAUGGGCGAAAGCCUGAUCCAGCCAUACCGCGUGGGUGAAGAAGGCCUUCGGGUUGUAAAGCCCUUUUGUUGGGAAAGAGAAGCAGCAGGUUAAUACCCCGCUGUUCUGACGGUACCCAAAGAAUAAGCACCGGCUAACUUCGUG
rnacentral:rRNA from 1 species